CCUCUACGCUUACGGACGAAGUGCUGAGGAACACACUUACGGAGAUAGAGAACGUCAUCAACGCUAGACCGUUAACACAUGUUCCAAUCGACAGUGACUCGGCUCCAGCACUGACCCCGAAUCAUUUUAUACUUGGGUCAUCAAAUGGGACUAAGCCUCUGUCAACACUAGACGACAAUGCCCUUACAUUACAACGGAACUACCAAACAUCUCAGAUUCUCGCCAACCAAUUCUGGAGGAGAUGGGUGAGUGACUACCUUCCAGAAAUAUCCAGGCGGACAAAAUGGUUCGCACACACGAAGCCGAUCUCCAUCGGCGAUAUAGUGGUCGUCGUAGAUCCAAGACUUCCUAGAAACUGCUGGCCGAAAGGGAGAAUCAUCCAGGCCAACACAGGACGUGAUGGGUGCAUCCGGUCCGCAACGGUUCAAACCGCUAACGAAGUGUACGAAAGGCCGGUAACAAAGCUAGCAGUCCUAGACGUUCAUAGCGGAACCUUGUAAGCCAACCGGAAGUUGGCGUACCCGGGGGAGUGUUGUCAGCGCGCAAUUCCACUGGACUGGCAACGCUUAUCCAUAUACUACCACACGAAUAAACAGCACUACCUUCGAUAGUAGGUAGACACAGCGAACUGUCAGGGAGAUGCGGGAAGAUGAUAAGGCAUAAUUGAUGAAAUGUUAUUGCUAUUGCGGCCUAAACGAACACACUAUUUUUGCUAAAAUUUGUUUCUCUAAAAACUACAUGAAAUGUUAGUGAAUUCUUAAUCUAGUGUUAGUCAAAGUUAAAACCUUAAUACCUAUCAUUCGUUAGUACGGUAAGAGUGAACUAUUAUGAAUUGAACAUGCAAAUUUCUUACUUGGUUCUUACUUACUAAAUUAGCUUAACCUACACGAGCCACUCCCGAUUGAUUACGGAUUAAAUUGAUCCCUAAUUACACGAAUAAUUAGUUGGUAUCCCAUGCAACAUUUACCGUCAGAGCAUCAAUUGCCGUCUGACUCCGAGCGAAUAGUAAACGAAUUUUAUAAUCCACCUUGGAUUCGAAUAAACGGAUUAUAAAAACGGAAUCUGCUCUUUGUUGUAUGGUGAGUCAACA